rnacentral:lncRNA from 1 species
CACGGCCACUCCUCCCACGCCGGCGUACAAGCCACCCACGGCCACGCCUCCGGCUCCGACGCCACCGAAGUACACUCCGUCCCCGAAGCCACCGACGCCUAAGCCCACACCACCCACGUAUACCCCGACCCCGAAGCCGCCCACUCCCACACCAAAGCCCACGCCGCCAACGUACAAGCCGGCACCCAAGCCCACUCCUCCCACGUAUAAGCCCACACCCAAGCCCUCGCCGCCGACGUACCCGCCGAAGCCAACACCACCCACCUACAAGCCGGCGCCGAAGCCGACUCCCCCGACCUACAAGCCGGCGCCGAAGCCGACACCGCCCACCUACAAGCCCGCGCCGAAGCCGACGCCCCCGACCUACAAGCCGGACCCCAAGCCGACUCCCCCGACGUACAAGCCCGCGCCGAAGCCGGCCCCCAAGCCUACGCCCCCGAACUACAAGCCGGCGCCGAAGCCGACGCCGCCGUCGUACAAGCCGGCCCCGAAGCCCACUCCCCCGGCACCGAAGCCCACGCCGCCGACACCACCAGCCUACAAGCCGGCGCCGAAGCCGAGCCCUCCGACGCCCGCCCCGCCGGCGUACAAGCCUCCGACUCCGACUCCUCCGGCGUACAAGACCCCCACUCCGAGCCCGCCGCCGCCGCCCUACCACCACUAAGAUCCAUCACUCUCUUUAGUUGGGAGCACAGGUGAGCAAUGCGGCAAUCUCAGUCUAUGCAUGCAUGAUGCAUGCAUGAAACGCAGACUGUAUCUACAUUUCCCUUUCAAAGUGCAAAGGACGAAACUUAAGACGUGAUUACUUGUGUUUUGCAGAAU